UGAUUUGCACAAUGUUUGCAU
rnacentral:piRNA from 1 species